GUGGGGAAUUUUUCGCAAUGGGCGAAAGCCUGACGAAGCAACGCCGCGUGGAGGAUGAAGGCCUUCGGGUCGUAAACUCCUGUCGACUGGGACGAAAGUAGUCUGGCCCAAUACGCCAGGCUAUCGACUGUACCGGUGGAGGAAGCCACGGCUAACUCUGUGCCAGCAGCCGCGGUAAUACAGAGGUGGCAAGCGUUGUUCGGAAUUACUGGGCGUAAAGGGCGCGUAGGCGGUUCCGUAAGUUCCGUGUGAAAUCCCCCGGCUCAACCGGGGAAUGGCGCGGAAAACCGCGGGGCUUGAGUUCGGGAGAGGGAAGCGGAAUUCCGGGUGUAGCGGUGAAAUGCGUAGAUAUCCGGAGGAACACCGGUGGCGAAGGCGGCUUCCUGGACCGACACUGACGCUGAGGCGCGAAAGCUAGGGGAGCAAACGGGAUUAGAUACCCCUGUAGUCC
rnacentral:rRNA from 1 species